GUGGGCAGCAGCAACUGGCGAAGAGCCAGGUAGCUGCCGUCCCCCCUCCUCUCGUUACCCCAUUCUCUCCAGUGGAGGCGAGGAGAGCAGCGAGCAGCUCCACAGGCAAGGACAGCCAGUAGUCGACGCCAAGCCAUCUCCCUCCACCUCUCGUUCCUCUUCUUUUUGCAGGAUUAGGAGCAGCAACAGCAAAACUCCGGCCACCAGCUCCGACAGCAGCAAGCAGCAGCGAGAACAUGCGAUAGACGAGUAGGCUCCAACCAGAAAUGGGAGGUAAAUCAACAGAUAAGGCGAAUCUUUU
rnacentral:misc_RNA from 1 species